rnacentral:rRNA from 1 species
AACUAGCUAACUGAAAUCUAAGUUUUUAAACAAAUUAUAAUUUCAAUUAAAUAAAAUACUAAAUAAUUAAUUUAAUUUUUUAUUCUAAUAAUUUUGAUUAUAAUAAAUCAAAAAUAAAAANAUGAUAANNGUAAGNGGAAGAUAAUGACCAUUACCCUUAUUAAACAUUAGUGUUGUCCAAGUUCUGGUGCCCAGAAGACUCGGCAAGNGCCAGGUACCCAAACCGUUAAUCGUCUUAAAUAGGCGUAAAGGGUAAGUAGGCUGCUUUAUAUGUAACAACCUUAAAUUUAGUUUAAUUAAAAAAAAAAUAAAAAAAUUUUUUAAUUAUAAUAAGUUAACAAUAAAGCUUGAAUCAAAUUGAAGGUAAAACAAUGCGUAAUGUAGGGGUAAAAUCUUAAGAUCUUACCGUGGAGUUCUAAAAGUGCAAACUAUUAUCUAUUGAAUGAUUGACGCUGAGGAACGAAAGUGGGGACAGGGAAAAGGAUUAGAUACCCUUCCACCCCUCACUGUAAACGAUGAAUGGUAGCUAUUAGUUAUACGAUAAUUAGUGGC